UCAACCAACCCGGACCAUUUGGAACUAUC
rnacentral:piRNA from 1 species